UACGUAGGGGGCAAGCGUUAUCCGGAUUUACUGGGUGUAAAGGGAGCGUAGACGGCAAUACAAGUCGGAAGUGAAAUACCCGGGCUUAACCUGGGAACUGCUUUGGAAACUGUAUGGCUGGAGUGUUGGAGAGGUAAGCGGAAUUCCUAGUGUAGCGGUGAAAUGCGUAGAUAUUAGGAGGAACACCAGUGGCGAAGGCGGCUUACUGGACAGUAACUGACGUUGAGGCUCGAAAGCGUGGGGAGCAAACAGG
rnacentral:rRNA from 1 species